rnacentral:rRNA from 1 species
GACGAACGCUGGCGGCGUGCUUAACACAUGCAAGUCGAACGCUGAAGCUCAGCUUGCUGGGUGGAUGAGUGGCGAACGGGUGAGUAACACGAGAGUAACCUGCCCCCUUCUUUGGGAUAACGCCCGGAAACGGGUGCUAAUACUGGAUAUUCACUGAUCUUCGCAUGGGGGUUGGUGGAAAGGUUUUUUCUGGUGGGGGAUGGGCUCGCGGCCUAUCAGCUUGUUGGUGGGGUGAUGGCCUACCAAGGCUUUGACGGGUAGCCGGCCUGAGAGGGUGACCGGUCACAUUGGGACUGAGAUACGGCCCAGACUCCUACGGGAGGCAGCAGUGGGGAAUAUUGCACAAUGGGCGAAAGCCUGAUGCAGCGACGCCGCGUGAGGGAUGGAGGCCUUCGGGUUGUAAACCUCUUUCGCUCAUGGUCAAGCCGCAACAUUGGUUGUGGUGAGGGUAGUGGGUAAAGAAGCGCCGGCUAACUACGUG